rnacentral:rRNA from 1 species
UGGGGAAUCUUGCGCAAUGGGCGAAAGCCUGACGCAGCGACGCCGCGUGCGGGAAGAAGGCCUUCGGGUUGUAAACCGCUUUCAGGAGGGACGAAGCCACUCGGGUUAAUAGCCCAGAGGGUGACGGUACCUCCAGAAGAAGCCCCGGCUAACUACGUGCCAGCAGCCGCGGUAAUACGUAGGGGGCUAGCGUUGUCCGGAUUUAUUGGGCGUAAAGAGCGUGUAGGCGGUCAGGUAGGUCGGUUGUGAAAACUGGAGGCUCAACCUUCAGAGGUCGACCGAAACCCCCUGGCUAGAGUCCGGGAGAGGAGAGUGGAAUUCCUGGUGUAGCGGUGAAAUGCGCAGAUAUCAGGAAGAACACCCGUGGCGAAAGCGGCUCUCUGGAACGGUACUGACGCUGAGACGCGAAAGCGUGGGGAGCGAACAGG